GAGACGCUGGUAAAACAGUACAUCACACAACCUUGUCGAGGCUGAGUUGCGAGUUAAAAUCUCGCGUGUCUCU
rnacentral:tRNA from 1 species